UUAUACAACUAAACAAUUAUCGUCGGAUAAUUGUAUGGAUCCGAAUUUCUGGAAGUUUCAAUUUCGACACCGGAACCCACCGUCGCUCACCCGUCAUCUCCGAACCUCCGAUAUGACGAUGGUGACCAGCCGACAAGGCUCAGCGACAACUCACAGGGCAAACAAACAACGUCGGAAGAAAUCCAAACCAAAACUGCGUUCCACCAGCGAAUUUCGCCGAAAAACGCACCGAAAUCGACUUUCGAUUUUCACGAAGGCC
rnacentral:lncRNA from 1 species